UGUGGCACCACGCCUGACUGCAGUGUGAUCUUUUAAAAUCCAGACCUGCCUUGCUGGUCAACCAGGACCGCGUGUUCCUUCACGAGCCCGGAGCCCGACAGCCUCUCCUGCAUCCUCACGCCGGGCUCUGGCCACGCCCCCCUGCCAGGGGCUCACCCGCGCCCCUCCUCGGCAGCUGCGCCUCGCCGGGCCUCUCCGGGCCUCGCCGGGCCCCGGGAGGGGAAGGGGCUCCACCUGCGCGCCACCUGCUGGGCCGCCCGACCUCCCGCAGACCCGGCCAGACCUCGGCGAAGCUCACGCCUCCGGGCUGCACAUCCGCGCCGGCCGCAAGCUCCAGGACGCGGCGGCGAGCCUGAGCCGCUGCGCAUGCGCGCAGGUGCGCGUGCACGCAACAGCCCGCACGCACCGGCACGCACGCGCCCGGCCAGUGAGACUAGGAAGGACAGGUUUGGGUUUGGGGUUUUUUGUUUGUUUGUUUGUUUGUUUGGGGGGGCCUUCGCGCUGAGCUGCAUCCUCGGCCCUUUUUAUUUGCCGACAGAAUCUGGAUGAGUCAGUAAGUUGUCCUGGCGGGGCUUCUCCUUCCUCAGGCUCCCUCGUGCUGAACUCUGGGCGCGCGCCCAGCUGAGGACGUGGCCCGAGGGAGGGAGGUCAGCGGGAGCUUCACAACGUUUGGCCCUGGUUGUGCGCCCUGCAGGGUGUGCCGUGAAGCUGUUGGUGGUUCUGAGGGCAAUCAUAAGCCUGGGGAAGCGUGUACUGUACUGUGUAAUAAUGAAGACAGCAGUUAUCCGCACUUUGAAAGCAAGUUUUGCAAAAUAGUUACGCACUUCCUUUGAGUGAUGAGUUCUAAUAAGCCACAUCCUGUAGGACAUCAGCACACCUUUGGGGGCAACACAGGACUGAGAUGUAGCCUGCACAGAGGCUGUCCUGGACACAGAAGCAGGUGAAUUGCUGGCCCACAAUGCAGCCUCAUAGAUCUGUGCCGAGCGGAUCCAAGGGACCAGGGUAGGUGCUGUUGCCUCCACUCACAGUGAGGAGAACAGAGCCCGGCUGUGAUGCUGCUCUGAAGAAGACCGUGCGGCUCGCGCUUAGUCGGGGAUGGGCAGGAAGCGGACGGCGAACCAGUUUAUCCAGGCCAAGGCAGACCUUCGUCCAGCCUGAAGAAAACAGCC
rnacentral:lncRNA from 1 species